CCGGCUGCAGUUUCCGACAGGUGGAUGGUGCUGCCCGAACCCGGCCUCUGAGACUUCUAAAAGCAGGUCUAGUCGGAGCUCCUCUCCAGCUCCCCGCCGACAGGGACUCCGUCGCUUCCGAGCCAGCUGUGGUACCCAAACAAAGGAAAUCCAAUUCGUCUGCGGUGGCCGUGGGAGUCCUGGGCGCUCUCGACUCGGAUCUGCGGGUAGUUCGCUGCAUGCCGGUCCCUGCAGGAAUUAUCUGUAGAGCAGUAAGUAUGCUAAUAUUCAGGAAGACAGCAGGAGUUUUUGCCAAACCACCAAAGAGGAACAUGUAUGGACUUUUGAGAAGUCUUCGUGUUUCUCCUGGAGUUCUUUCUCCUCGUAAGCUGGUCCUGGGGAUCGAAACCAGCUGUGACGACACAGCCGCUGCCGUGGUGGAUGAAACUGGACGCGUGUGGGGAGAAGCCAUGCAUUCCCAGACCGAAGUGCAUUUGAAAACAGGCGGAAUUGUUCCUCCAGUAGCUCAACAGCUUCACAGAGAAAAUAUUGAGCGAAUAGUAGAAGAAGCCCUUUCUGCCAGCAGAGUCUCGCCACGUGACCUCUCAGCAAUCGCAACCACCGUCAAACCAGGACUGGCUCUGAGCCUGGGCGUAGGCUUAUCAUUCAGCCUACAGCUAGUAAACCAGUUUAAAAAGCCCUUCAUUCCUAUCCACCAUAUGGAGGCUCAUGCGCUUACCAUCAGACUGACCAACAAAGUAGAAUUUCCUUUUCUAGUUCUUUUGAUUUCUGGAGGUCACUGCCUGUUGGCCUUAGUCCGCGGUGUUUCAGAUUUCCUGCUUCUUGGGAAGUCUUUGGACAUAGCGCCAGGUGACAUGCUCGACAAGGUGGCAAGAAGACUUUCUUUAAUCAAUCAUCUGGAAUAUUCUACGAUGAGCGGUGGGAAGGCUAUAGAACAUUUGGCCAAAGAAGGAAAUAGAUUCCAUUUUACCCUCAAUCCUCCCAUGCAGAAUGCUAAGAACUGCAAUUUUUCUUUUACGGGACUUCAGCAUGUUAUCGAUAAGCUAAUCGAAAGGAAGGAGAAGGAAGAAGGCAUUGAGAAGGGGCAAAUCCUGUCUUCCGCCGCAGACAUUGCGGCUGCGGUGCAGCACGUGACCGCAUGCCACCUUGCCAUGAGAACGCAGCGCGCUAUUCUGUUUUGCAAGCAGAGAGAGUUGUUACCGCCAGCGAACGCAGUAUUAGUUGUGUCUGGAGGUGUUGCAAGUAACUCAUAUAUCCGAAGAGCAUUGGAAAUUGUAGUAGAUGCGACACAAUGCACUUUGCUGUGCCCUCCCCCAAGACUGUGCACUGAUAAUGGCAUUAUGAUUGCGUGGAAUGGGAUUGAAAGAUUGCGUGCCGGCUUGGGCAUUUUACAUGAUGUAGAAAACUUCCGGUAUGAACCAAGAUGUCCUCUUGGAGUAGACAUAUCCAAAGAAGUCGCAGAAGCUGCCAUAAAAGUCCCACAAUUAAAAAUGACAAUUUGAUUUGUGAUUUUUAAAGGUCUUUACAGAUCUGGGUGACGGAAAACGAACAGAUAGUUGCUCCUAGGGUUGGCGCCCAAAUGGGGAACGAACCCACGAUCCUGGGUCGGGAAAUGACGUUUGACCUUGAAUUUGAAGAAAAAAUACUUCACAAGGCUAUAGGAUUGAGAAGCUCUGAAGAGUAAGCAUAAAACAGAGAGGAGCCUAAAUGCUGAUGCCGAUGGAAGAGGCCAUGCCAUAAGCUGACAGUCCACACUGAGAGCAAUUUUCGACGCCACCACGUCAAAACCAACCACAUAGAUGCUGUGAGCAUGAUGUGAUUAAAAGACCUGCUAUGGGCCUCACAGGAUUGUGGCAGGCAUGAGAUGUAACUUGAGAGAUCCUAUAUAAAUACAGAAGUCUUAAGAAUGGGCUUCUUGUGAGGUGGAGGGGCUGGUGCGGAGAAUACUCAUUUCAUAAAUGCGUCAACAUUUUUCUGAAUCCCCAGUAGAGAAGUGCUCACCAAGACAACGUGCUUGCUAGAAUGAAAUGCAAGGCCCUGGGUACCUGAAAUGCUGCCAUUGCCCUCUCGGUUUCAACUUUGGACUGAAGAAAAGGCUCAAAAAUGGAUAAAGUUAUCAUUCCUUUUUCCAGUAUUAAGUACUGUUGAAAACGGUUGUUAUAGGCGAAAAGAGUCAGCGCGUAACCGGCUCUCAGGCAGAUGUCCUAGGGAGGGGAGAAACACCAAUAAUUUUCACUUGCUUUGUUGUUCACUGGGUUUUGAGUUAUCGCCUAUUAAGAUGCAUCUCAUUCUUAUCAAGAUGAGAUAUAGGACAUCGUUGGGAGAAUUUUUUUCUUUUAAAGAAAAAUAACUGCCUCAUAUUAGCUGCCUUGGGAAAGCUCUCUUCACUGCGUGACAUUUCCUAAGCCUCAGCGUUCUCUGGGUAAGAAGUGCAUGAUGGGGGAUUGGAAGGGCAUGCACUUACGUGAAGGGUUUGAUUCAGGACAGAGAUUUCACCAAGCAUUAAAACUGUGCACAUCAAGGAAGACAUGUGGCAAGUAUGAAAAGUUUGGAACCAUAUUAGCACAAACUCAUGACCAACAAAGUAUAUUCUCUUAAAUAAAUUGCUCGCAUGCUGCCUUGGGGAAUGCUUGGUCGUAACUGAUUGCGUUUUUCUUAGAACCGUUUCCCCUAGGUGAGCGCUCUGAAGGAUGUCAAAGUCCUACCUUGUCUUUUGAGUGAAGAAGAUAAAGGACAUCGGAAUACUGAAAUCCUUCCUUUUCUUGUAACUCUUUCUGCAGCAAGUCAUUCCCUAGGACGAUGCAUGCCAAAGAAAAUGCCACUUCAACCUAAAUGUGUGGUUUUCAAAAAUUAUGUUUCAUUCACACAUUACUGAAGAAUGUAUAGUACGUAAAUAUUUGCACAGGCUAGGUUGUGGAAAUAUAAAGUGUUUAAGGCACAAUGUGUUGCUUAUAAUUCUUUGACCCCAGUUAGUGUGACCCAGCCUCUGGAGGGUGUCUCUCAUAGAUUUUAAUGACCAGGAAAUUUCCAUGUCCUCUAUGACCAGAGGUCAUCUCACGUCUCCUGAAGGUGCUGGGUGGGGGGUGCCCUAGGGACAGCAAGGUAUGUUCAGAGGUAGUGUAAAAUCUUACAUAUAUAAUUGUAUCCCUUUCACAUCUAAACAUAAUUUUCAAAUAUUUACUAGCAUGGGUUUAAAGGCUAAGGAAAAAUAACCAAGGACUAAGUGCAUAAGAUUUUCAUGUCAUAGUAGAAGAAAAUAAUAAUUACUACAUCAGUAUUUUCUGCUUAAAACUUUUAGAAUUUUGUUUUAAAAGUUAAAUUGUUAUGCUUGUAAACCCACAUAAUGUAAGGUAAAAAUUCUUCUUAAAACUGUUCUAUAUAUUACGUUUACUAUGUUAGAAAACAUUGAAAACAUUAAUCCAUACCUUAAUGUUAAGGGAAGGAUGACUUCUUAAUAGCUGAAUGAGCACAGGAAAGGCAUUCUCCUCCACAACGAACUGUUGACUCAAGGGAUUGCUUGUGUGGGCCACGCCUGUAAAGCUCCCAUAGGUCAAUGAGAUCAUGCUUUUGUUCCAUUUUUAAAUUGUAGAGUCAAACUUUGCUGGAUUUUGAUGGAUAAACUAUCUUAAAGCAAUAUGGCUAACAGACUUUAAAAACAUAGUAUAUUGGCACUAUUUUAAUACUUCCUUUGGUUUCUUUAAAGGACAGAAUAAACAUGGAAAUUCAUUACUAGAACUAUAGAUAAUUUUAUAGUGAGAGACACAGCACAUAAAUUUGAAAACUGCUACAUUCAUUAUCAGAACCAUCACUGGUUAAAAAUAUAGUCUGGUACUCAAGUUUAUAGCCAGUAUUUCCUAUGAAAACUUUCUUAUCUACAAAAAUGACUAAUCACUGAGUUAAAAUUUCUAGCUUUCAUAAAUUGUAUAUACUAAAAACAUACAUUGUCUUCCUU